UGCUUGGGAAUAUGCCUUUGAGUGGGGGACAACAGUUGGAAACGACUGCUAAUACCGCAUAAUAUUUACGGAUCAAAGGUGGCCUCUCCUUGGAAGCUAUCGCAAUAGGAUGAACCCAAGUGGGAUUAGCUAGUUGGUGAGGUAAUGGCCUACCAAGGCGACGAUCCGUAGCUGGUCUGAGAGGAUGAUCAGCCACACUGGGACUGAGACACGGCCCAGACUCCUACGGGAGGCAGCAGUGGGGAAUAUUGGACAAUGGGCGCAAGCCUGAUCCAGCAAUACCUCGUGUGUGAAGAAGGC
rnacentral:rRNA from 1 species